GGUAGUGUGGUGUAGUGGUUUGAAUGCUGGACUAUGACUUUGGAGACCAGGGUUCAAUUCCCAGAUCAGCCA
rnacentral:tRNA from 1 species